rnacentral:tRNA from 1 species
AAUUAGUAUAUACUGUACACCUAUCUUCCAAAUAGAAGGACUCAAAUAAUCUGAGGUU